GAUGAACGCUGGCGGCGUGCUUAACACAUGCAAGUCGAACGGGAAUUACUUUAUUGAAACUUCGGUCGAUUUAAUUUAAUUCUAGUGGCGGACGGGUGAGUAACGCGUGGGUAACCUGCCUUAUACAGGGGGAUAACAGUCAGAAAUGGCUGCUAAUACCGCAUAAGCGCACAGAGCUGCAUGGCUCAGUGUGAAAAACUCCGGUGGUAUAAGAUGGACCCGCGUUGGAUUAGCUUGUUGGUGAGGUAACGGCCCACCAAGGCGACGAUCCAUAGCCGGCCUGAGAGGGUGAACGGCCACAUUGGGACUGAGACACGGCCCAGACUCCUACGGGAGGCAGCAGUGGGGAAUAUUGCACAAUGGGGGAAACCCUGAUGCAGCGACGCCGCGUGAAGGAAGAAGUAUCUCGGUAUGUAAACUUCUAUCAGCAGGGAAGAUAGUGACGGU
rnacentral:rRNA from 1 species